rnacentral:rRNA from 1 species
AUUGAACGCUGGCGGCAUGCUUUACACAUGCAAGUCGAACGGCAGCGCGGGCUUCGGCCUGGCGGCGAGUGGCGAACGGGUGAGUACUACAUCGGAACGUGCCCAGUAGUGGGGGAUAGCUCGGCGAAAGCCGGAUUAAUACCGCAUACGACCUGAGGGUGAAAGCGGGGGAUCUUCGGACCUCGCGCUAUUGGAGCGGCCGAUGGCAGAUUAGCUAGUUGGUGGGGUAAAGGCCUACCAAGGCGACGAUCUGUAGCUGGUCUGAGAGGACGACCAGCCACACUGGGACUGAGACACGGCCCAGACUCCUACGGGAGGCAGCAGUGGGGAAUUUUGGACAAUGGGCGAAAGCCUGAUCCAGCAAUGCCGCGUGUGUGAUGAAGGCCUUCGGGUUGUAAAGCACUUUUGGCGGGAACGAAAAGGACUGUGCCAAUACCACGGUUCGAUGACGGUACCCGCAGAAUAAGCACCGGCUAACUACGUG